GUUUUUAUCAAAUCUGCUCUCGCCACAUGUUUCACAACAGCAUGAUGGGCAAAACCACUCUCCAUCUGGGAUCUCCUUCAUUCCAAGGCAACCAGUAUGAAAGGAAGACGGGCAUUCAUCACACAAAAGUAAUUCACCACCAUAAUGGCACACGGAACACACAUAGUCAUUAGUGCCCAAAUGGCUGCGCUUUUUCAGCAAAGGGGUUCUCUUCCUCGUGUGUCUUAAACUAGUCUUUUCUUUCAUCUGCAGUUGACAAUCAAGAAGGGAUCGUCCAUCUUCCAAAUAUAUAUUUGCUGAAGGUCUGUGAUAACUACUUCCAGCAUGCACCUCAAAACUGCUAAUUCCAUAAACUUUUUGGCAGCACUUGCAUUUGAUCCCUGCACGAGUGAUCCGCCCUUCUGCCAUUGGACGACCAUCUCUUUUCCCACGAUACUGCACUUUCGCACGCGGCAGAACCACAUUAUUGUCAAUCAACCAAGAUAAAACUGUUCGAGGUGUAUGAUGCAAGGAAGAAUAAAGUGUCCCCUGCCGAGCUUUUUUACUGGAUCGCAACAGACCAACUGAAGACUCAGAUUCUGUACCAUCUGUUACUGUUCUUGAAGAUCUAGAUUCAUUUUCUUUUUUCAACAUGCCACCUCCAUGAAUAGUCUUCUUUCUU
rnacentral:misc_RNA from 1 species